rnacentral:rRNA from 1 species
UACGUAGGGAGCAAGCGUUGUCCGGAAUCACUGGGCGUAAAGGGCGCGUAGGCGGCUCGGUAAGUAGGGGGUGAAAUCCUGCGGCUUAACCGCAGGGCUGCCUUCUAAACUGUCGAGCUCGAGCACGGUAGAGGCAGAUGGAAUUCCCGGUGUAGCGGUGGAAUGCGUAGAGAUCGGGAAGAACAUCAGUGGCGAAGGCGGUCUGCUGGGCCGUUGCUGACGCUGAGGCGCGACAGCGUGGGGAGCAAACAGG